CACCAAGAAAUUAAGCUAUAUAACAACGGUAAAAUAUAGUUAAACUAACACACCCGCUAUAUGAUUAUUUAUAAAAAAGUAAAAUUUGUAUAUAAAUAAAUAACUUAACAAUAGCUGAAAAGUUGAUGCUAUGAAAGCCUUGAGGGAAACUGGGAUUAGAUACCCCAUUAUUCUUGGCUAUAAAUCACAAUAUUACCCGGGUACUACGAACAUUUUAAAUUUAAAACUCAAAGGGCUUGGCGGUAUUUUAGACCCCUCAGGGGAACCUGUCUCGUAAUCGACAAUCCACGCUACACCUUACCUUUAUUUGUACUCAGCCUGUAUACCGUUGUCGUCAGGUAACUUUUUAGAAUAUUAGAAGUUAGCUAACAAUUAACAUAAUUUAAAACGUCAAAUCAAGGUGCAGCCGACAUAAAGGCGAAGAUGGGUUACAAUUAUAUACUUAUAACCAACGGACCAAUUACAAGAAAAAUAAUUUAAAGGAGGACUUGAAAGUAAAUUAGAAUAAACAAAUAACUUGAAUUAGGCUCUGAAAUGUGU
rnacentral:rRNA from 1 species